UGCCAGCCGCCGCGGUAAUACGGAGGGUGCGAGCGUGAAUCGGAAUUACUGGGCGUAAAGCGCACGCAGGCGGUUUGUUAAGCUAGAUGUGAAAGCCCCGGGCUCAACCUGGGAUGGUCAUUUAGAACUGGCAGACUAGAGUCUUGGAGAGGGGAGUGGAAUUCCAGGUGUAGCGGUGAAAUGCGUAGAUAUCUGGAGGAACAUCAGUGGCGAAGGCGGCUCCAUGGCCAAAGAAGGAAGCGCAUGUGAGAACGUGUGGGUCGCGAACAGGAGUAGAUC
rnacentral:rRNA from 1 species